ACGCUCCUCUCGAUCCGCUCGACGCACUCCUCUCGAUCCACCCCUCCCGCUGGGGCCUUUCUCUCUUUCCCUCCUUCCCCGCUCCACCGCCACCGGCCCAUCUCCCGCCCCGUCGCCGCCGCCCCAUCUCCCACCCCGCCGCCGCCGCCCCAUAUCCCGCUCUGCCACCGCCCCUACUGCUCCACCGAACCGACCUCUUCUUCGAGCAUGAGCCGCUCCUCUCCCUGACACCCUCGUACUCACUAGGGUUUCGUGCGCCGCCGCCGCCGCCGGUCCUCUCCAACACUGCGACGGGCUUCACGGCCUACUUCGACCUCGGGCCUUAAUGCUUUCUCUGCUUCUGUGUCGACCUUCUAUUCAGCGAGGAGGACGUACAUCAGGCAGCGGGUGACGCGCGGUGGCUGCGCAAAUUCCUCUGCGGCGGAGAUCUCCAGGAUGGGUGCUUGUCUUCUCAGAAGAAGGAGAUGAUGAAGGAUGCAGAGAAGGAAGGCAACGUGGAAGGCAACGUGGUGUGUUCUUGAUGAUGAUCGAAGAAGAUCUGCUGGCUGCUGUUCAAGGGACGAUAGCCAAAGAAGAAGAAGAUGAUUGCUAUGUUCUGAGAAAUCAAGAUUCUGGAAGACCACGAAGAGGAAUAAGACAAGCAGGCACAUGUGUACCGUCACGAGCAGCAAAACGAAGAGUAAACCCAAGAAUAUCAAGGGGGGAUUAUGUUGGCUGCCGUGGAGGACGAGAUGCAAGGGUGCUCCGGCAGCGGCUGCAGCAGCGUGACAGAUCAAGCGAGCUAGGUUGUGCCAUCUCUGGUCCUCUCUCUUCAAAUGGUCGACACCGGGUGCUUACGAUCGACGUGACGGCGGCGGUGCAAGAGCAUGGCAUAGCUGGUCUGAGAGUGGCGAUGGACUCACUGCCCGCUGCUACUAUAUCAUCCAAAGUAGUGGCAGGGCGCAGCGGCACGAACGGCUCAGCCUCUGCCUUGUUCAUCCCAUUACAACGGAGGCGCUUUAAUUACUGACACAUAUGUUCUUAUUAUGCAACUGCAGGUGAUUUCUCAUCUUUCAACUCGGUCUAUUUUACUUGUCAUACAUGGAGAGAGUUUAUACAAUGUUAGAUGAAGAGUUGGCGGUGCCACGGUGCCAAGGUUUGCUUCUCAAAACUGAUAAGAUCACAUGAUGCUUUUAUAUGCUUAUUAUUAAAUCACAGGCAAAUAACCCACUUCAACCUGCGUGAUAAUUAUGUAGUGAACAGAGCUUUUGUGUGAAUAAACUACCCAACUUUGUCAAGUGACUUAAUGGAGCAAGUCUUUAAUUUGUAACUAGCUGUUGUUCAGAAUUGAACUAGCGCUUCAUACAGAACAAUUUUGAGAGCAACUCCCCACAAAAAAAUACAUCAACUAUAAUUGUUGGAAUCCUGAAGGUAGUUCCAUCGAAGUUUGUGAGUAUAUUUGCAAACCUCUGUCUACCUAUGAAUACUAUUAUCGAGAUAGUUUAAACCAUGUUGUUGGCCUGCUACAAUGCUCAAUGGUUUACCCUUGCUCAGAUCAAUUCUGGUGUGUUUGUAAUGGGAAUGUGGGAUGAUGUAUGAAGAGAUAAAGAAAGUUAUGCUCGCGGAAUAUGAGUAUGUAGUAACAGUUCUCUGUUAUGGUUCGCGACAAUUGUUCUGGUACAUCUCAUUGGUAGUUUAUAUGUAAUGCAAUGCCGUUUUAUAAUUAUCAUGCUAAAAAGUAAUGUUACAUUAGACAUUUCAACAUAAAUGAGUUGGACAACUGAGCCCACAAUAUAUAACUAUGUAUAUUGGGACACAACGUUUUGCCUCUGUGUCCAGAUGAGCCGGUCAUUCAUCAGUUGGAAUCCGCGCCAAAGAGUUUCAGUGGUGUUGAUGUUCGCCAGUAGUCCAGUACAUCGAGUAUAGAACAACCAUGUAUGCUGCAGGUGGUUACGGCGUACAGCGGAUCUGACAGAACUAUUUUGAAUCUCGGUGGCUCUGUAUCAGGGUCUUCCUGUACUGAUGGUUGAAAGAUUUCCAUGUGGUAUGUGAUAUGGUACAGAUUUUUCGUUUCCUCGUAACUGUGAUCAGAUAAUCAUGGAUGACGAAAGGCAAACAGAUUCCUUGCCUUCCAAUUUAUCAGUCUUCAGUUACGCUCACGUACCGAGUGAAUAGAUUGCAAUGUUCUGUACUUCUUAUUUCUAAUUGAUUUCAUUCUCUAAUGGUUGCAUUAACUUGCCAAACAUUUCAUCUGUCGGAUGCAUGGGAGGGGAUAUGCAUCCGUCUAUGGUGGCAGUGGAACAGUCCUCACUGUAAGUGAUCUUAGAUAGGGAUGAGGUUAGCAACGAGGGCGAAAGAUGAUGAGGCUCCAGAAUCUAGAGAGUUGUUGUGAAAGCUGAUCCACAAGCACCAGGGUUUGUUAUAAAAGGAAAACUCUCUCGACCCGGAUGGAAAUAAUAUUCCUGAAUUGCCUGAGAUGGUUAGUGAUAGUGAAAGUUAUGAUGACAGAUAAUUACUCCUCCAAGAAGAAGAAUCAGAAGAGCUGGCUAUUUGUGGGCCUUUUUCGUCAGUGGUAAGGUGACAUGGGCCGCGUUUGUCAGUGGCUGAGGAAAGGCGGUUCGAGCCUGACGUGGUCGUCGAUGAGGAGCUUUUGGAUGUCACCGGCGCCGGCAAUCCUCGAGGGCAAAGGCUGCGACAAGCGGCGGCGGCGGAGCUUGGGCAGCAACAAUCCGAGCAUGAUGAGGUCGAAGGCGUCGUAGUGGUGCAUUGGAGCUGGAGGAGGCGGCGGGCCAGUGCUGUUUGUGCUCAAGACGUACGAGAUGGUGGACAGCCCAUCGACGGAAGCAGCGGUCUGGUGGAGUGACGCGUUGGACACGACCUUCAUGGUUUGGUGCUCGCUGGAGUUUGCAUCUUCAAGCACAUAAAUUUCUCCAGUUUCAUCCAUGAGCUCCCCCCACCCCCUCUCUUACUGAAUCCCUACGCACCCCAAGCAAUCUCGGUCAAGUUUGUGCGGAUUUGGGGUUUAAGAUCUGUGCAUGUGCGGGGAAUUUAUUAGUAGGAGUUGGUCUGGGUUUUAUUUGUCAGAUUUACUGGAGAAUUUGGCAUUAGAUUUUGAUCUUGGGUGGGGGCGAGGGUCCUCAAAUGUCUACACUGUUGUGGUGAAAUGCUACUCCAUUUUUACUAAAAAUCAUUUAGGAUGCUGAUUUUCUUAGUUGGUCUUGAUUGCAGUUAAAUGCCAAAAAUCAGGACUCGGUAUGGUGCCAAAAUAUGUUCAUAAUUUUGUGCGCUGGGCUGGUGGGAUGCUAUGUGAAUCACUACAUUCUUACUCCUUUGGUUCGCCGGGGGUUCGGAUUGCAUUGACCACAUUCAGAUUUUUCCUAGAGAUUCAGGCUGGCAACCAAAGAUGUCCAGCCUUGAUGGCUUGUGAUAUAUUAUCAUGUUUAGGAUAGACGAAAAUGAGAUUGCAAAGGAACGAAGAGCUCAAGAUUUUGUUUUGUUCAUGAAGAUGCAUAAUCAAGAGGAACCACAAGGAUUCCUAAGAACAGAGGUGCAGCAACAUCACUUAACCUUUUCAUGUUACUCUAGAUGAUUUAUCAUCCUUGCUUGCCCCUCCCGACAAGGAUUCAUAUCAAGAGUUCAAUACUUGUUGGGGGUUCCUCGCAAUGCACGCACAGAGAGGCAUAACUUCUUUGCUUCCCCCACCAUCUCUGCAAUAAUAUGGCGUGCAUGUGCAAAAAGAAGGAUCUGAUGGUCUACUAAGGGCUUAUAGGAAUGAAGAGCGGCUUAUCUUCUUUACGUGUUUAUCUGGUAAAUAUUCAUCUGUCAGGCAAUACAAAUCGUAUGGUUACAAGUUCAACAACAACAUGGGGAGCGCUGGCGUGGUAGUCCGGCGGUAGAGGGAUGGCUGGGCAGCAGCCUACCGAGGAGUUGGAGGGAGGGCUUGAUUGGACCACAUCUGUCCACGAGGGCUCGUUGGUGGGCUAAUCAAGAAGGGGGGAGGGGCUGGGUGUAUCUGUGUUGCGCGGUUCCGGCUGGUGUGCUCCUCGGCGGCGUCCUGGACAGGUGGAUGUGUGGGCGGCUGCGUGUGUGUGUGUGCUUCGGCGGUGCGUGGUGAGGUAGCGGGGUGGCCAGCGCGGUGCCCUGGUGAGCAGGUGGUUAGAUCCGGACGGAUUUGGCCAUGGUGGCUCGACGUUGGACUUGCUGGUGCAUGUAUGGUUUAUAAUCUGUCCGGACGGAAGAUUGUAGUUUGUGUAUAGUUUAUAAUCUGAGGAAAUGUUUGCCGUCUGUGUUAACCUUCAGUCUUGUACUGCUGAAGAUUGUAGUUUGUGUUGUAUCAUAUGUGGACAUGUUCUUUACUUCAAUCUAGACUUACGUGCCUUUGUGUUAA